rnacentral:sRNA from 1 species
CAGGUGGUCAGCCAGAUUAUAGUGCAGCCUGGGCUGAGUAUUAUAGACAACAAGCAGCCUAUUAUGCCCAGACAAGUCCCCAGGGAAUGCCACAGCAUCCUCCAGCACCUCAGUGCAGGUUUGAUCCAGCCAGUAUAGAACUAGCUCUGUAGGGGUGAGGAGGACUGUGCUGUGUAUCAUCCUUGAUUGUGUUCCUUCAAGGAGCAUUGCACUUGCCUUCCCAGACCUUCCACCUUAGGUUCUGCUGCAAAAAGCACCAGUGCUGAAGAUGCUGCAAGCACCAAAUCAUAGCUCAUAAAAUCAGGUCCUGAGAUAGUUACCCAUAAAGAGGAAUCCUUUGAGUGUAUGCCAUUGGUGAGCCGAUGAGCAUGGACCAUAGAAGGGCUCAAUGUAGAAGAAACUACCCGUGUGUAAAAAGAAGAUUGGCUUAAAAUGGCUACUGUGAUGGGAACAGUGUCUUAGGGAGAUGCAGCUUGGACUUGAGGUAAAUUGAAUACUUUACAAACUGUGGUUUAGAGUUUGCUUUAAUGACAUUGUAUGUAAAAGGUCACAUGAUUGCUGUAAUUUUGUAUUCAUUAUGGUUUCCUCAAUAAAUGUACAUUGAUGAAUAUUA